GUCUCCCUUCAUCCAUUCUUGAUUCCUAAGCUUCUACUUUUUCAGUAAAAGUUCCUGCUUUUCAAGAAGUUCUUUUGAAGUCCUACCCUGGUUUGAACAACUUGUUGAGAAUUCAGCAACUUGAGGCGUGCCUGUUAGAGGAGAUCACACCACCAGAUCAGAAAGCAGAGGAUGUAAUGUGUCCAGCAUUGCAAAGGCAGAGAGAAGAGCAGGAUUCUAGAUGCAGACCUGCCUGCCCACCAUGUCCAUGUUCUAUGACCACGCUUUUCUCCUUCCUGUUCACGCCACAAAAGAUCUCACCGGCUGUGGGACCAGCAGAAGGAACACAAGCCUUCAGGUACUUCCCAAGGUUCAAAUUCUCAAGCUAGCAGCGACAGCACUCAGAGGCCAGGGACCAUGAUCUGUUCAUCUUAUGCCCCAGCACCUGUCUUAGGACUCGGCAUAUAGGAGGCACUCAACAGUUUGCUGAAUUAAAUGAAAUUGAACUUGGCUUUGCUGCAUUUA
rnacentral:lncRNA from 1 species